GAUGAACGCUAGCUACAGGCUUAACACAUGCAAGUCGAGGGGAAACGGCAUUGAGUGCUUGCACUCUUUGGACGUCGACCGGCGCACGGGUGAGUAACGCGUACCCAACCUUCCCAUUACUGUGGGAUAACCUGCCGAAAGGCAGACUAAUACCGCAUAGUCUUCGAUGACGGCAUCAGAUUUGAAGUAAAGAUUUAUCGGUAAUGGAUGGGGAUGCGUCUGAUUAGCUUGUUGGCGGGGUAACGGCCCACCAAGGCUACGAUCAGUAGGGGUUCUGAGAGGAAGGUCCCCCACAUUGGAACUGAGACACGGUCCAAACUCCUACGGGAGGCAGCAGUGAGGAAUAUUGGUCAAUGGACGGAAGUCUGAACCAGCCAAGUAGCGUGCAGGAUGACGGCCCUAUGGGUUGUAAACUGCUUUUGUAUGGGGAUAAAGUUAGGGACGUGUCCCUAUUUGCAGGUACCAUACGAAUAAGGACCGGCUAAUUCCGUGCCAGCAGCCGCGGUAAUACGGAAGGUCCAGGCGUUAUCCGGAUUUAUUGGGUUUAAAGGGAGCGUAGGCUGGAGAUUAAGUGUGUUGUGAAAUGUAGACGCUCAACGUCUGAAUUGCAGCGCAUACUGGUUUCCUUGAGUACGCACAACGUUGGCGGAAUUCGUCGUGCAGCGGUGAAAUGCUUAGAUAUGACGAAGAACUCCGAUUGCGAAGGCAGCUGACGGGAGCGCAACUGACGCUUAAGCUCGAAGGUGCGGGUAUCAAACAGG
rnacentral:rRNA from 1 species